AACUUAAGCAUAUCAAUAAGCGGAGGAAAAGAAACCAACAGGGAUUGCCCUAGUAACGGCGAGUGAAGCGGCAACAGCUCAAAUUUGAAAUCUGGCCUUCGGGUCCGAGUUGUAAUUUGUAGAGGAUGCUUUUGGUGAGGUGCCUUCCGAGUUCCCUGGAACGGGACGCCAUAGAGGGUGAGAGCCCCGUCUGGUUGGACACCGAUCCUCUGUAAAGCUCCUUCAACGAGUCGAGUAGUUUGGGAAUGCUGCUCUAAAUGGGAGGUAUAUGUCUUCUAAAGCUAAAUAUUGGCCAGAGACCGAUAGCGCACAAGUAGAGUGAUCGAAAGAUGAAAAGCACUUUGAAAAGAGAGUUAAAAAGUACGUGAAAUUGUUGAAAGGGAAGCGCUCAUGACCAGACUUGGGCUUGGUUGAUCAUCCAGGGUUCUCCCUGGUGCACUCUUCCAGUUCAGGCCAGCAUCAGUUCGCUGCGGGGGAUAAAAGGCUUUGGGAAUGUGGCUCCCUCGGGAGUGUUAUAGCCCAUUGUGUAAUACCCUGUGGUGGACUGAGGACCGCGCUUCGGCAAGGAUGCUGGCGUAAUGGUCAUCAGUGACCCGUCUUGAAACACGGACCAAGGAGUCGUCUUCGUAUGCGAGUGUUCGGGUGUUAAACCCCUACGCGUAAUGAAAGUGAACGCAGGUGAGAGCUUCGGCGCAUCAUCGACCGAUCCUGAUGUUCUCGGAUGGAUUUGAGUAAGAGCAUACGGGGCCGGACCCGAAAGAAGGUGAACUAUGCCUGUAUAGGGUGAAGCCAGAGGAAACUCUGGUGGAGGCUCGCAGCGGUUCUGACGUGCAAAUCGAUCGUCAAAUAUGGGCAUGGGGGCGAAAGACUAAUCGAACCUUCUAGUAGCUGGUUUCCGCCGAAGUUUCCCUCAAGAAA
rnacentral:rRNA from 1 species